UUGUUGUGGUAGAAUUAGUAAGAGCUAUUCACUAUUCUGAUUGAAAGAAAAGAGAACGGUUUUUUAGUUAGGCACUAGGGCAACACACUAAAACCGUUCCUUUGAUAAAGCAUUCACGUUCAUUUCAUUCUAAGGUUUGAGACCCCAAAAUAAACCCCUCGUCUUCUCUUCCCACACUAAAAAAAAUUGUCGAACCCUGGUGUCUUCCCACCAUCCUCUUCGUCUCCUUGUGCGGUUGUUCUCACCAUUCAUCAAAAUCAUCUCUUCCAUUCCUCUUUUAUUCUGCAAAAUCAACAUUGAAUCACCGAUAUUCAAUAUUGAAUCGCGACUUGUUUUCAGUUCCAUUCAUAAUUUGCUUGCUUGCACCCACAAACACCAUUGAGAAGAACCAUGACAAUGUUGUCAAACUAUUUGUACUCACUCUCACAAACACAUCACGAGCUUAGAAAAAGAAUGCUAGCAACUUGGACACCAGACCAAGAGUUCAACCAAGUGAGGCAGAGGUCAGGUGCAGACAUGAAGAGGAAGCUUAAAUGGUAUGAUCUUAUAGCUCUUGGAGUUGGAGGAAUGCUUGGUGUUGGUGUGUUUGUCACAACUGGACCUGUUUCUCUUCAUCAAUCUGGUCAUUCAGUCUUCAUAUCUUAUAUCAUUGCAUGAAUAUCAGCACUUCUUUUUUCUCUAUGUUACUCUGAAUUUGCAGUUCAAGUUCCUGUUGUUGGUGGAGCUUUCAGUUAUUUAAGAUUAACCUUUGGAGAAUUUAUGGGAUAUUUUGUUGAGGCAAAUAUACUAAUGGAGUAUGUGUUCUCAAAUGCUGCUGUAGCUAGAGCUUUACAGAAUAUUUGAGCUUUGCUUUUGGAGAAAAUAAUCCAAAUAUAUGGAGAGUUGAAGUCCAUGGAUUGCCAAAGGAUUGUAACAUGUUGGAUUUUCCAGCAGUAGCUCUCACUCUUCUACUCACUCUUUGCUUGUGUCACAGAUGAACACGACGGUGAAGCAGUCUGUUAAAGGAUUUGCUUGUGCGUUGUUUGAUCUAUCACGACAUAAAGGUCUCCAACGAUUGGGAGCGAGUGAUGUGGCGCGACGAGAAAUGAUGAAUUUCACCCGGUGGCAACAACUAUUAAUUCUAAUCAUAAGGGAAAAACUAUUUAUUCGUUGUUAUGACUUUUUUUGAGUUAUUUGAUAAAUGCGUGAUAUGAGUUUUCUGUUACAUUACAAUAGGGUGAAGUUUAUUUUUUUGGUGAUUGGUUUAUAAACAUCAAUUAUUUAUA